rnacentral:rRNA from 1 species
AAAAGAACUCUGAAUAGAGAGUUAAAUAGUACGUGAAACUGCUUAGAGAUUAAACCCGAUGAACCUGAAUAUCCAAUAUAAAGAAUUCAUCAUUAUGACAAUAAUAUUUAUUAUUGUAAUAGUGUGCAUUUUCUUUAUAUACGGACAUUGUAAUCUAUUAAUAUAUAUAAACUUAUCAGAAGAUCAAUUGCAAAUGAUUAUUUUUUAUAAAAUGCUUUUGUAUUUUAUGAAAAUAAUUGCUUUUGAUUUGAUAGGGUAUUGAUAGAUUAAAAUAUAUGUAUAAUGCAAAAAUUCAUUUAUGAAUUUUAUAAUAUAGCAAUAUAUUAUAGGCAUCUAUACGAUUUACAAUGCGAAAGAUUCAGGAUACCUUCGGGAC